GAUGAACGCUGGCGGCGUGCCUAAUACAUGCAAGUCGAGCGAACAGACGAGGAGCUUGCUCCUCUGACGUUAGCGGCGGACGGGUGAGUAACACAUGGAUAACCUACCUAUAAGACUGGGAUAACUUCGGGAAACCGGAGCUAAUACCGGAUAAUAUAUUGAACCGCAUGGUUCAAUAGUGAAAGACGGUUUUGCUGUCACUUAUAGAUGGAUCCGCGCCGCAUUAGCUAGUUGGUAAGGUAACGGCUUACCAAGGCAAUGAUGCGUAGCCGACCUGAGAGGGUGAUCGGCCACACUGGAACUGAGACACGGUCCAGACUCCUACGGGAGGCAGCAGUAGGGAAUCUUCCGCAAUGGGCGAAAGCCUGACGGAGCAACGCCGCGUGAGUGAUGAAGGUCUUCGGAUCGUAAAACUCUGUUAUUAGGGAAGAACAAAUGUGUAAGUAACUAUGCACGUCUUGACGGUACCUAAUCAGAAAGCCACGGCUAACUACGUG
rnacentral:rRNA from 1 species